CAGUCUUCAUCAGGUAAAUAAGAACACCACUGGAAAAUACGAAAACUAAAAGAAGCGGCACAUAUGCUAGGACACAACAACCUCUUAAACAGAACGUGUGCAGAUAUGAAUAGCACAUGGGCACCGGUAUUGAGGAAGGUUAGGAGAAUAUUAGAUUUAUAAGCCCUAAAAUUCACUCCUUAAUUGACCACGGACAUUAU